rnacentral:rRNA from 1 species
GACGAAGGCCGUGCGUACGUCGUUCGGAAUCACUGGGCGUAAAGGGUGCGUAGGCGGGUCUUUAAGUCAGGGGUGAAAUCCUGGAGCUCAACUCCAGAACUGCCUUUGAUACUGAGGAUCUUGAGUUCGGGAGAGGUGAGUGGAACUGCGAGUGUAGAGGUGAAAUUCGUAGAUAUUCGCAAGAACACCAGUGGCGAAGGCGGCUCACUGGCCCGAUACUGACGCUGAGGCACGAAAGCGUGGGGAGCAAACAGG